GCCUCUCUGGUCUAAUGGCUCAGGACACUCGUACGGAAUACAAGAGAUCCGGGUUCGACUCCCGGCCGAGGUA
rnacentral:tRNA from 1 species